UUAAAUUGAAGAGUUUGAUCAUGGCUCAGAUUGAACGCUGGCGGCAGGCCUAACACAUGCAAGUCGAACGGUAACAGAAAGCAGCUUGCUGCUUUGCUGACGAGUGGCGGACGGGGGAGUAAUGUCUGGGAAACUGCCUGAUGGAGGGGGAUAACUACUGGAAACGGUAGCUAAUACCGCAUAACGUCGCAAGACCAAAGAGGGGGACCUUCGGGCCUCUUGCCAUCGGAUGUGCCCAGAUGGGAUUAGCUUGUUGGUGGGGUAACGGCUCACCAAGGCGACGAUCCCUAGCUGGUCUGAGAGGAUGACCAGCCACACUGGAACUGAGACACGGUCCAGACUCCUACGGGAGGCAG
rnacentral:rRNA from 1 species